AUCCGGCUGAUGAGUCCCAAAUAGGACGAAACGCGCGUCCUGGAU
rfam:Schistosoma margrebowiei strain Zambia genome assembly, scaffold: SMRZ_contig0012973